AAAAUAGAGACACCAAGCAAUCCAGGUUGGUUGGUCAUCCUAGUUUAAUCCUAUCUCUAUCCCUAAUCCUAAUUCCAUUCUCACAUCCCACCCCAUCUCCAACCCAAUCUCCAACCCUCCACUGCAGUCCUAACCCUGUUUCCAUCACUUCCUUUUGACUCAUUCCCAUCCUUAGCCAAGCCCUCACCCUGAGCUUCUCUUCUCCAGGUUCAAGUGCUCCACCAAGACCUCCAAGGGCAGAAGAGGAAACAGAGCAACCCCCACUUCCUUGCAAGCCCCGGAACAUGACAGGACUGGACCUCGCCUCUCUCACCUGUCCACCUCCUCAACUGGCUGUGAAUCUUGAGCCUUCUCCAUUGCAGCCACCCCUGGCCGGUAAGUUAUUAUCCCCUGCAAGUGUCCUCCCAUUUCCCCUCUGACAGUGGCUAGUGUAUCUAAUUGAGACCUAUGGCUCUACAGUGAGACCCUGAGUCAGAGGAACUUCUUUAAGAAUUUGCUCCUUCAGGACUUGCUGCACUGUUCUGAGUUAGUCUAGUGGGAGCUGCUCUGAGAAAGCCAUUCCUUUACAUCAGAGUUUGCAAACAUGUUUUCUUUUUUGUCCUUCUGAGGACCAGAGUUAUGUGGUUAUUUUGUUUUUGAUAAUGAUGAUGGUACUUAUGGUUCUGUUGGUGAUUGUGAUGGAAGGAUGAGGAAGGAGAUGAUGGAAAGGAAGAGGAUGGUUGGUGGUAAUAACGAUGGUAGAGGUAGUGAUGGCAUUGUUGGGUGCUCAUGGUGAUGGUGGAGAUACUGAUGAUGGUGGUGAUGGUGGAAAGGGUGAUGGUGUUGUUGGUAUUGAUGAUGGUAAUGAUAGUGGAGACAGUGAUGUGGUGGUGAUGGGGGUAGAGGUAGUGAUGAUGUUGUUGGUGAUGGUGAAGGUGGUGAUGGUGAAGGUAGUGAUGGUGUUAGUGGGAUGGUGAUGGUGAUACUGGUGGUAGUGAUGGUGUUGGUGGUGAUGGUGUUGGUGAUGAUGGUAGAAGUAAGUGAUGGUAUUGUUGACAAUGACAAUGUUGUUGGUGAUGAUGAUGGUGAUGGUGAAGGCAGUGAUGGUGUUGGUGAUGACAGUGCUGUUGGUAGUGAUGAUGGUGGUAAUGGUGGAGGUGGUGAUGGUGCUGUUAAUAUUGAUAAUGGUAGUGAGAUAGUGUUAGGGUGAUGAUGGUAUUGUUGGUGAUGGUGGUGGUGGUGAUGAUGGAGGUAGUGAUGGUGUUAGUGGGAUGGUGGUGAUG